rnacentral:rRNA from 1 species
CCUACGGGUGGCAGCAGUGGGGAAUAUUGGACAAUGGGGGCAACCCUGAUCCAGCCAUGCCGCGUGUGUGAAGAAGGCCCUCGGGUUGUAAAGCACUUUCAGUGAGGAAGAACGCCUGGUGGUUAAUACCCAUCAGGAAAGACAUCACUCACAGAAGAAGCACCGGCUAACUCCGCGCCAGCAGCCGCGGUAAUACGGAGGGUGCGAGCGUUAAUCGGAAUUACUGGGCGUAAAGCGCGCGUAGGUGGCUUGAUAAGCCGGUUGUGAAAGCCCCGGGCUCAACCUGGGAACGGCAUCCGGAACUGUCAAGCUAGAGUGCAGGAGAGGAAGGUAGAAUUCCCGGUGUAGCGGUGAAAUGCGUAGAGAUCGGGAGGAAUACCAGUGGCGAAGGCGGCCUUCUGGACUGACACUGACACUGAGGUGCGAAAGCGUGGGUAGCAAACAGGAUUAGAUACCCUAGUAGUC